AUUUCACCACGGCAACUAUGAAAAUUGUUACUAGGGUAAAGGGAAGUUACAAUCCAAAGAAUUUAGAAUGUAAGUUUUAGUUGUAGAAGGAACAGUAGAGUCAGUAAUUAGAAAAAAAUCUUUUUAUUUCUAUUUUUUUGGGUCUGAGGACAUGCCUCAAGAUAGAAGAAAAUGAAGGAAAGUAAAAUAUCAAGGUCAGGGGUAGCAGAUGUACCCUCAUUGCUGUCGUAGAGAGAGAACGACAAGCGAGUAGCUGGCAGGGAGCCCAGAAACCCGAGGUUGACACUCCUAGCAUUAUUUCAUAGCAAGCCUAAAAUGCUGACAUGAGUGAGAAGCCUCCAGCAGGUGUAUCAGCAUUUCCGCUGCUGCUUGUGCUGAUAAAGCUUCCUGAACACACACACCAAGUAGAAAUCACUUGGUGACACGUUCACUGGGGCACUCCGCCAAGGAAGUCUAGAUGGGCAGGACGGUGUGCUGCAGAUGGCCCCACUACCCAGCGGGUCCAAUGGACAAUUCGAACGUGGUUUGAGAGAGACGUGGGGAGAAUUCUCUCCCCUGAAAUGUAUGGAGCAAGCUAGUACUUCUAAGAAUUUGCUACUGAAAGACGAUGCAUAUGAAAACUGAAGUGGCUUUAGAAUACUAAGGUGGUAGCUCUACACAGUGUGAUUAUUAGUGUUCAAGGAGCCCGCCCUUCAUGUUCACAGUGACAUUAAACACACACACACA
rnacentral:lncRNA from 1 species